CUUUCGCAAGGCACUGUAGCUAGGCCUAGGACACCUAGACAUAGCGUGUGCAACAAUAUCGGUAGGGUAGCUAGCUGGUAUCAUAACAUCCUUGUGUAGUGAUAUGUGUAAUGAGUGUGUAGUCUUAAAACAUUAGGGGCUGGUUUCCCGGACACAGAUUAAGCCUAGUACUUGGGACAACAAAUAUACCAGGACUAACAGAAAACCAUUGUAACUUCAGUCCAGUCCUGCUCCAGCCAGCCCCCAUCGUCCUCAGCGAAAUUUUGUUUUCUGUGUGGGAGCAGCUCCCUAAUAUGGGUCAUCUGAAUAACAAGUCACUUUCCAGAGAAGAGCUGCACUGUGUUGACCUCCCGUCUGCAUUGUGUACAAUCUGUUCUCGUUAAGGCUGAAUAUGACAAGAGAUACAAGAGAGUUCCGGGAAUGUGAAGGAAAGACCAUUAGAGAGGGAGGAAGAAAGAGGAAGGGAGAGUGAGAGGGGAGGAGUCUGAGAGAGAUGGGAUAGAAUGUGAGAGCCAAGAAGAAGACUGCCAGCAUCUUGUGGAGCUCUCUCUCUGUUUACACAGUCUAACAGACAGACUAUCCCCUGAAGAACUGGGGGGAGAAGGGAGGUGGGGAGUGAGAAAGAAAGAAAGAAAGAAAACAAGAGGCUAGAAUGGCUACAGUCUUCUCUGGCUCUGAAUCUGGUACCCGUAAUUGAGUUUAGUUUCUGAAUGUCAGGUAUCCAUCCGCACUCCUUCUUGCACAAUCCCAACAUCUGCUGUCAACUUUAUAGAGGAAACUCAGACUGAAUGGUGAUGAGGCCAAAAACUAACUGUCCUUUUUGCCUGACUACCUUCCUGUUGUGGAGAGCACAAAUGAAGAGUCAAACAGCCAUCAGUGGUUGUUGUUGUCGUUUCCGACAAGAGAACCCAUCUGUCAUCUCCUAGACCGUAGGCUCCGGUUGCUGGCGGGGCCGGAAGCUGAGAAUAGAACUACAGGGAAUGCCAUCCUAGGUGAGGAGGUCUUCCAGACUGGGACAGAGACUGUCCACAGCACCGUUGGCCACGGGGAGGUCUGUGGAAGGCAGAUCACCGUAGUUGACACCCCACCCCGGAUUACACCCUGUGACUCAGCAGAUAAUGCUACCGGGGCCCACCAGAGCGGGCAAACUCUCCCCCCCCAGGGCCCCACACACUUAUGCUGGGGUCCCCAUGUCACAGCCCUUCAGAGGGCCACGGGAAGGCUGCAGAGAAGCAGAUGGGUCAUCUAGGAGGAAGGGCCUGGAGGUGCUCUUCACUGGGGGUGGACAAGCUACCUGAAGGAACAUUUGUGGAUGAGUUCAUCACAGCUGGGGAGCCCCUUCAGUGGCUGGUGGAGAGGUGUGGUAAUAGAUACCAUGGCCUGGAUAGUAACAAACAGCAGAGUGAGGAUGACAAUAUGGUGAAGACACAGGUUCAGGAGCUUCUGGAGAAGGAAGAGGAGCUGGUUAAAGACAACCAUGGCUGGUAUUUUGCAGCUGGAGUAGGAGCAGGCAAGGAGGGCAGUUGAGGAGGGUGAGGGAGAAGGCGCAGAGGGUCCGGAUGAUCUUUGUGUUUUGCCGGGCUGGAAACGAGAGGGAAAAAGUUGUCGGGAACACCAUCUUAGGUCAGAGGGCCUUUUUAGUCGGGGACAGAGAUGGAGCAGAGCCUGAGGAGGCAGGCUGAUGUGGUCGGACGCAAGGUCACCAUAGUAGACACCCCCAACUGGGACUGGGUUUCUGUGAGGCGCACAAUGAAGCAAGGGGCCAACUUCUUCCAGCCCAGCCGCCAUAUAACCACCACAGGUUCUAGGAUAGGGCAGAGUCAGAGACCUGAACUGGGUACCGGUAUGGAAAACACACUUGAGCUCCACAGUUUGGAUCUGCUGGGCAAAAUAGAGGAAAUUCAGACUGAAUGGUGAUGAGGCCUUCUUGCUCGUACACAGAGAUUAUGGGUCAGCCAUCGUAGAACAGCACUCCUGGAGCAUAUGAGGGUUAAGUGCUUUGAUCAAAGGCACAUCGACAAAACAUCCGUGUGUUGUUGAAUCCUACUGCAGCUGGAGAGAGAGACAGUUCUGACAUAUGUAAUUGUUUUAAGAUUGUCACACUAUGGAUUAUUUCGCUAUUUAAUUUAGAAUUUUAAGACCCUUUCAGAUAUAAAAAAAUAUGUACUUUUUUUGGUUGAUAAAAUAUAGAAUUUGGCCUUUACUACUAUAGCCCAGAGAAACGCAUUGAAUAACACGUUAAAAAAUGGCAAAAAAAGACAGUAAAAAAAAGUAGCAUAAGAAGCAAUGUUUUGAAGUGUUUGUCCUAUAAAUAUGAGUCCCAGUCAACUUUGGACACACCUACUCAUUCAAGGGUUUCUUUAAAAAAAAACUGUUUUCUACAUUGUAGAAUAACAGUGAUGACAUCAGAACUAUGAAAUAACACAUAUGUAGUAACC
ensembl:lncRNA